UGUAUGGUUAAGUGACUAAGCGUACACGGUGGAUGCCUGGGCAGUCAGAGGCGAUGAAGGACGUACUAACUUGCGAUAAGCGCAGAUAAGGCAGUAAGAGCCGUUUGAGUCUGCGAUUUCCGAAUGGGGAAACCCAACUGCAUAAGCAGUUACUGUUAACUGAAUACAUAGGUUAACAGAGCAAACCGGGGGAACUGAAACAUCUAAGUACCCCGAGGAGAAGAAAUCAACCGAGAUUCCGGUAGUAGCGGCGAGCGAACCUGGAUUAGCCCUUAAGCACUCGGUGAAGUAGGUGAACAAGCUGGAAAGCUUGGCGAUACAGGGUGAUAGCCCCGUAACCGACGCUUCAUCGAGCGUGAAAUCGAGUAGGGCGGGACACGUGAUAUCCUGUCUGAAUAUGGGGGGACCAUCCUCCAAGGCUAAAUACUCCUGACUGACCGAUAGUGAACCAGUACCGUGAGGGAAAGGCGAAAAGAACCCCUGUGAGGGGAGUGAAAUAGAACCUGAAACCGUGUACGUACAAGCAGUAGGAGCACCUUCGUGGUGUGACUGCGUACCUUUUGUAUAAUGGGUCAGCGACUUAUAUUCAGUGGCAAGGUUAACCGUAUAGGGGAGCCGUAGCGAAAGCGAGUCUUAACUGGGCGCUCAGUCUCUGGAUAUAGACCCGAAACCGGGUGAUCUAGCCAUGGGCAGGUUGAAGGUUGAGUAACAUCAACUGGAGGACCGAACCGACUAAUGUUGAAAAAUUAGCGGAUGACUUGUGGCUAGGGGUGAAAGGCCAAUCAAACUCGGAGAUAGCUGGUUCUCCCCGAAAGCUAUUUAGGUAGCGCCUCGGACGAAUACUACUGGGGGUA
rnacentral:rRNA from 1 species